GAGUUUGAUCGUGGCUCAGAGUGAACGCUGGCGGCGUGCCUAAUACAUGCAAGUCGAACGCGAAAGUCCUUCGGAUGAGUAAAGUAGGCGCACGGGUGAGUAAUGGUUGAGAACGUGCCCUGAGGUGGGGAAUAACAGUUGGAAACGACUGCUAAUACCGCAUACGACCUGAGGGUGAAAGCGGGGGACCGGUAACGGCCUCGCGCGACAGGAGCGGCCGAUGUCUGAUUAGCUAGUUGGUGGGGUAAGAGCCUACCAAGGCGACGAUCAGUAGCUGGUCUGAGAGGACGAUCAGCCACACUGGGACUGAGACACGGCCCAGACUCCUACGGGAGGCAGCAGUGGGGAAUUUUGGACAAUGGGGGCAACCCUGAUCCAGCAAUGCCGCGUGUGUGAAGAAGGCC
rnacentral:rRNA from 1 species